AACGCUAGCUACAGGCUUAACACAUGCAAGUCGAGGGGCAGCAUAAAGGUAGCAAUACCUUGGUGGCGACCGGCGCACGGGUGAGUAACGCGUAUGCAAUCUACCUAUCAGCGGGGGAUAACCCGGCGAAAGUCGGACUAAUACCGCAUACCACAUAAUUUCCGCAUGGAUAAAAUGUGAAAGAUUUAUUGCUGAUAGAUGAGCAUGCGUUCCAUUAGGCAGUUGGUGAGGUCACGGCUCACCAAACCGACGAUGGAUAGGGGAACUGAGAGGUUGGUCCCCCACACUGGUACUGAGACACGGACCAGACUCCUACGGGAGGCAGCAGUGAGGAAUAUUGGUCAAUGGACGAGAGUCUGAACCAGCCAAGUAGCGUGAAGGAUGACUGCCCUAUGGGUUGUAAACUUCUUUUAUAAGGGAAUAAAGUGAGGGACGUGUCCCUUUUUGUAUGUACCUUAUGAAUAAGGAUCGGCUAACUCCGUGCCAGCAGCCGCGGUAAUACGGAAGGUCCGGGCGUUAUCCGGAUUUAUUGGGUUUAAAGGGAGCGUAGGCCGGAGAUUAAGCGUGUUGUGAAAUGUAGACGCUCAACGUCUGCACUGCAGCGCGAACUGGUUUCCUUGAGUACGCACAAAGUGGGCGGAAUUCGUGGUGUAGCGGUGAAAUGCUUAGAUAUCACGAAGAACUCCGAUUG
rnacentral:rRNA from 1 species